rnacentral:tRNA from 1 species
GGAAGAAUGACCGAGUGGCUUAAGGAGCUCGCCUGGAAAGCGGGUGUACCUCAAAAGGGUACCGGGAGUUCGAAUCUCCCUUCUUCCG